rfam:Ictidomys tridecemlineatus contig044408, whole genome shotgun sequence.
GGGGGUGUGGCUCAGUGGUAGAGGGCUCGCCUAGCAUGUGUGAGGCACUGGGUUCAAUCCUCAGCACCACAU